UGUUCCACGUCUUCACAUCCCCAGGAAUAGCAGCCUUGUUUGUAGCAGGCAGCCAACCUCACUUGUCUCUCUUCUGACUGUUGACUGUGCUCACAACACUUACCUGAAGGAAGAUGUAUUCAUCCUGGACAACCAAGGAGCUGAUGUCAAUGGAGCGGGCAAAGGGGCCACUCCUAGUUGUCUCAGCACAUUCCUGGAUCCUGCAGGCAAUUUAAAUUUCAAAUGUAGUACGGGACAGCACUGUGUGGCUAAGCAAACAAGACCACAGUCCAAAGGAGACCCAAGAAUGGCUUACAUCCACCAUGAGCUCUUUCAUUUAUCCUGGUCUGCCUUACGGGGAGACAGAUGGUUUUAACCUCCAGACCCUGACUGUGCAGUAAGGUAGGCAAUGGAAAUCUUCAAAAUUUCAGCUACUCAUCUACUGAUAAGACAUGAAAAACAGAAGGAGCCUUGCCGCAAGCACAAUCUUACUCUAUUGUCACUUUGAUGUGCCUCAUGCUUUUCUCCUUCAUUAUAUUCUCCUCAAAGAUGGCCUCUGCAUCUGAUUAAAUUGUGUUUUUCACUAGUGCACAGCACCAUAUCUUGUACUGCAUAUAUUAAGCAUCUACUGAGUAGAUAGAUAUACAUGAAUAAUAACAGCUGAGCGAUGUAUUUAAAAUAAUUGUUAAAACAAUUCUGUGAUACAACAGAUUUUAUUCAUCUAAU